CCAGACAACAAAGUCAAGAGCACAAACCAGCCUUCUGUCAGUGGAAAAUUCACAGGUCAGCCUUAAACAGCCACAAAGACAUCGCAACAUUGUGAAGAAAAACAAUGAUUUCCAUCUAUAUGAUCUUCACCACUCUGGCAACAACCGCUCUGACAAAAGGUAAAUUUAAGUGUAAAAGUGAAAUUAUUUGUGCCUAGCAUUUCAGUAGAAAUUUUUUAUCUGUAAUUCACAUUAUGCAUUUUAUCUUUUUGUUGGUUUUAGGGUCUAUUGAAUGCAAAUUCUCUGAACCUAAUGGAGCUCUGUGUUUUGGGGCAAUUGGACAGCAGUUGCUUUUUCAUCUGCCAAAUACACCAAAUACAGCAAUUAUGUUAAGAAAGGAUACUAAAUAUGUAAUUUUAAAAACAGGAAAAACUGUGACUAUGGAUAAGAAAUAUGUGAAUCAGCCUGAACUCUUCUCCAAUGGAACAUUCAAACUAGGUAACGCAAUGAAGAACAAUUUGGAUCUGAUGGUGUUUCACUGAGAAAAGUCAGAGUGCAUCUUGAAAUACAAGCUCUGCUGUCAAAGCCAGCUGUUUCUCAGAUGUGUGUGUCACCAGAACAGAUGAGUGUCAGCUGCUCCUCUGAGGGAGAUGGAGUAGAGUUCAUUUUGACCUUAGACGGUCUCUUACUGAUGCAGACCAGAGGUCGCUGCCAGCCACUGAGCAGCUCGACAGCAAACAUGCUGCCAGUUGCUGGGAAUAAAACUGAAGACAAAUCCAAUGUUUCACAAGUUACCAUCAGUUUAUAUGGUCAGCUGACAGGAAACUUGAUGUGUCGUGUUUCUAACAAUAUCAGCAGCAAUGAAACAGUUAUUCACCUGGCAAACUGUAAAGCUUCCACUUCUCACUUCUCUGCUAUGGCUGUGAGAGCUAGUGUUUUCACUCUGCUUCUCUUGGCUUUGUGUCUUGGUGUCUGCCAUGUACACAAGAAAACAAGACCUAUGACUGUUAAAGAAGAGACAUAAGAAGUGGAGCAGCAGAAAUCAGCUAUACAUCAAGGAGGUGGAAGGGAGCGGAGGAGCAGUGUUUGUAUUGAGGCACACUCAUGUCAGGUCUCUCACAUAAAAAAUAAAAAAUAAAACAAAGUUUGAUGAGUUUGUGAAGUUGCACGGGAUCAUGGGAGUCGUGGUCUUCACCACCAUUACCGUCAUUGCAGUCAGCUUCUCCCAUUUAGGAUUCUUUAAGUGUUCAUCGUUUAGGAGGUUUCUACCAGGAGCCGAAUUAUCCACAGAUGUCUCCUCCUCUCCAGUGAUUAAAACUGAUAAAACACUGAAUUAAACACAUUCACCUUGAAGAUUUGUGUUUCUCCAACCAUAAACCCAAACAGCAGAAUAUAAUUUAUAUUUUAUUAAUUAUAAUAAUUUUAUUUUGUCUGUUUGCAUAACUCUACAUAGCAAAAUUUUAAUUACACAGCUUGCCCGCCAUACCCUGCAACAAAAAUUAAUAAAUGAAGUGUUGGAAAGAAAAUGAUCAUGCUUUCACUGCUUCCAAAGUAGUUUCUCCCCUCUGAGCUGUGUGGUGACCUGUGAAAGAGCACUUGCAUUUGAACACUGAUGUUAUGGGUACUGAAGAAUUGGUUUAAGUUAAGGCAGUGCUCUUUUUGUGUUCUGAUUAUAUAACAUUCCUUUUAUGUUGUUUUUCUUAUGAGAAUGUAAUUCUCAAAAAAGUAUGCUAAAGAAUGUCCUCUUUAUUGCUGCUGUUAAAGAAAUGAAUGCUUUAUACAAAGUUGUUGCUGCCUCUGAUGAACUAUUCUAACAGUAUAGAGCAAAAGAUUAUGUCUGGAACAUUUUGAUGUUCCGUAAUGAUUAGUAUGUUGCCACUCUGCCUUAUAGUAUUGUUGAAUGCAAUCUGCCUUUACUGCAGAGAUGAGUCUCUCCUUGGCCUGUGAAAGUUUCAAGUGAGGCACUGUGACUGAAGAAGCAACAGAGAGCUGUGGUUUUCACAUAGUUUAAUUUGCCUGUGAGGAUAUCUUGUGAUGCAGAUGUUUAUAAGUAAUAUGGUAUUUAAAUAAAACGUGUGGUUAUGCAGUACAAUGAGGCAGUAAGUGUUCACAUCUUGUUUUUUAUAGAAAUACAACACUUCUCAUCCUAAGGCAGGUUUGCAAUGUGCUUACAACAGAGUUAAAUGAAUAAUAAAACAACAGCAGGUCUCCAUGCACUGGUGUUGUAACAAUUCUUUUGUAAAUGUGUAAGGUAACUUCUCCCCACAUGCCUAUAUUCAUGCCUUAAUAAACAAAUAUUCUGCAUUUAAAUACAUAUGUCAUUGGAAAUGUGUGAUAAGCUAUGUCCUUUUAAUAGUACUUCUCAGAUAAACUGAUGCCAUGUGCCAAAGAAAAAUACAUUUUACAGUGUCCGUUUGAUAAAGGUAACGGAUGGUACAUUUACAGCUAAUGGCUUUUUGUGCAGUUGGUUUUUUUUUACAGUUGAAGUGAAAACUCAAACCUUGGCUAGAAUAGUCGUCACUCUAACUAAGGUGAGUUUCCCCGCCUUCUAUGUACUUUUUGUUCCUUAAUUAGCUUCAGUUGCGCUGCAGUCAUAUAAGAGGAAGCACAGGUUUUAGCAGUGGCUGUUUCUGAACAGCUUUUGAAGAUACUAAAAACACUUUCAUUGCUCUGUGGUAGAAAAAAAUCACAAUUCUUUUAGGUCUAGUGUGUAACAUUUAGGAGGAUCUAUUGGCAGAAAUGGAAAAUGAAAUGAAUAGGCAUGUUUUCAUUAGUGUAUAAUAUAAUCACCUGAAUAUACGAAUAUAAGAAUUCAGUGGAAUCUGCCAUGUUGAACGGUCAUAUUUCUGCAGUAACCCAGAGCAGUCAAAACCAACUUUGGCUAGCAAGUUUUGCAGCCAGAGUUGUUUCUGCUACACAACCUGUUCUCAUCCCCAGCUGGUCAAAU
ensembl:lncRNA